rnacentral:misc_RNA from 1 species
UUAACUAUUAUAUAGUACUCAGACAACACUGAUAAUCAGAGUUUUGAAUCCUCUGGCGGCCACUGACCAGCCGAAGCCGGUUGUCCGAGGACGGGGCCGCCAAAGCAACAAAGGUAAUGUAAACAUUGGGUGGGAGGUCUACCCCGAAGGGCAUGAUCUCAUUAAUGAUCCUUCCGCAGGUUCACCUACGGAAA